GAUAUCAAAAGACAAACUGCACAGAGAAAAAAAGAGGUUUCAAUUUGAAAAAAAUGAAAGUAAUUAAACCGGCUUCUGUUCAAGCUAACUUGUUUUAUUUCCUUGCUCCAUUCCUACUCACAAAUAAACUAUGUAGAAAGGUUUUGAACUUUCGAGAGUGUACCCUUAUCAGGUUAUUCCAUCAAAUUCUUCAUUGGGCCAACAAUUGCUAUUGGAGUUUCAUGCAUCAUCUAGUUGUGGGCAUGCUGGAGUUGCUUGAACAUAUCAUCGUCUGACCUCUAAUUUCUAUUGGAAACACAUGAAACAAGAUGUGAAGGUUUUUGUCUCAGCAUGCCAAAUCUGCCAGCAGGUGAAAGAUAUCAACCAUCACCCUUCGGGCCUUCUUCAACCCUUACCGAUUCCUGAGUUGGUUUUGAAGAUAUUUUCAUGGAUUUUAUCACAUGUCUUCCUAGUUUAAAGGGAAAAUCUACAUUAAUGACAAUAGUAGAUCGCUAGUCCAAAUACAGAUACUUUAUUUCUCUUCCAGCUACUUCCACAGCUAGAACUGUGGCUGAGGCUUUUGUGGUUGACAUCAUCCGCUUACAUGGUCCUCCACGCACGAUAGUCACUGAUCGUGAUCCUAGAUUUUUUCACGAUUUUUGGCAGGAGAUACAUUGGCUUCAAGGGACUACUCUAGCCGUGAGUACCACCUAUUACUCACAAACCGAUGGACAAUCUGAGGCUUUGACCAAAUGUUUGGAGUAGUACCUAUGUUGCUUUAUGGCUGACACUCCAAAAGAUUGGGUUGAUAUGCUUCCGUGGAUUGGUACAACACUACCCUCUAAACUUCAGCGGGCAUGACUCCUUUUGAAGCAGUCUAUGACCGCAAAAUGUUGUCUAUAACUAGUUUUGUCAUGAGUGACAGUUCAAGUGAUCUUGUGGACCAGUUCUUGUUAUAGAGAGAUGAAGUUUUACUGUUGCUCAAGUUGAACCUGGCCAAGGCUCAGAAGCAUAUGAAAAUCAAUGCGGAUAAGCUACGUACUGACAUCCAUUUCCAAGUUGGAGAUUGGGUUUAUGUCAAGAUCAAACCAUAUCGCCAACAUUUGUUACGUCUGCAGCAUUUCCAUAAACUUUGGCACAAGUUUUUUGGACCUUUUCAGGUGCUCAAGAAAAUAGGAGAAGUCGCUUACAAACUUGACCUCUAGAGGUUGUGAAAAUUCAUCCUAUGAUUCACGUUUCAUUUCUCAAGCAUUGUAUUGGCUAGCCUGAGAACCAAGUGACUCCUCUUCAAUUGACUGAAUCUAAUUCUGAUCUGCCACUGCAUAUGACAACCUCGAAGACAAGGUUCUCGAUUCGGAAGGAAGUAAUAUUGUGGUCCUACAUUCUAUUGAGCUGGAUAACCUAAGUGGGGGAUCAACGAGAAGCACGCGUACAUGAUUGUGCCUAAGAAAUUGACAGAUUAUGUUGUGAGUAGUGCAAGUCACGUAAAGGGCAACACAUGAGCUGGAAAUUAGUAUAUGUAGCUAAUAUGAGGAUGAGUAGGGUACGCAUCAUGUUAUAGCAAAUUCUUAUUCUCAUCCCUGUGAUCUUCUCAUCCUCAUCAUCUUCUUUAUCUUAUUUCAUGCUUUUUGUAUUGUCUUUAUUUCCGUCAAUUUCAGUUUUAUUAUAAUCAAUUUGGCAGUGUUUUUCAUAAAAUACUACUUCAGAUAUUUAGUGUUCCAGAUA